rnacentral:lncRNA from 1 species
UACGUACCUGGAUCUGUGGGCGGGGGGAAUAUCAUGGGGCAGGCACUGGGGGGCACAAUAUCCCAAAUAGCCGUAUUUGCAUCACAACCCUUGGAUGAGGUGAUUGCCCAACGUCGCCCAUCAUCAUCCCGGCAGGUUAAGUCCAGGAUGCCAUCCCCGUCACAGUCUGCACUCUGCAGGACUGCGGUGUCGUGGAUGCACCACCCGGAUGGCCUGGUGCAUGAAGCUGCGGCAAAAAAAAACAGCAACGAUAAUAAUUGAUCAAUGCCAGAAGCAGAUAGGGCAGGUGGCCUAGCUAGGAAAGGCCACAUGAAGGGUGGAGGCCAGACCAGCUGGAAAUGAAAGGCCAGGCAGUGUAACUACGAUUUCUGGACGCAUCGAGCAGGUCGGUGCCACAAAGAGACUCAGGGCUUGCUUGCCAGCAGCCGUAGGAUAACCGUACAUGCAUGCAUGCAUGCAUGCCACCAAUACAUUCGGUGAUUGAGCAUAGCUAUGCGCUUGCAUGCAUGUUUUGUGCGAUUGGGCAUAUGUAUACAGUUGCCAAAUGUGAUGCCUGGGGGGCUUCAGGUAAGGUGCACACACUGCUGCAAUUCACUGCUCCGAAGCAAGUGGGGUUGAACAAUGAUAUGCUAUGAUAAUUCCGAGGGGCAAUGCCGGUUCGAGGGAAUUCCCUCGAACCAUCUCAAUUUCAUCGCAACGGCUGGGUUAUUACUACGUACCUGGAUCUGUGGGUGGCGAGAAUAUCUUGGGGCAGGCACUGGGGGGCACAAUAUCCCAAAUAGCCGCAUUUGCAUCACAGCCCGUGGAUGAGGUGAUCGCCCAACGUCGCCCAUCAUCAUCCCGGCAGGUAACAUCCAGGGCGCCAUCCCCGUCACAGUCUGCACUCUGCAGGACUGAGCUGUUGUGGAUGCACCACCCGGAUGGCCUGGUGCAUGAAGCUGGAACUGCGGCAAAAGCCAGCAACGAUAAUAAUCGAUCGGUGUCAGAAGCAACAGAAACAUUUCUAGAUGCAUGGAGCAGCAGGUCGGUGCCAUAAGGAAACGCAGCUCGCCUGCCAGGGUUUUAAAACCCCUAGGGCGCCUGCCAGUAGGACAAGUUGGGUGUCGGCUUCAAGGAAGCCGGAAAAAGGGCGGGGCCCCUCUGCAUCCGUACAGGCCGGUAGCAAAGGUGGCAAGUGUGACAAUUGAUGGGUAGUGUCAACGCGGUGGGAGAUGUGCUUUGUUGCAGCAGUGCUGAUGGUGUGAGAGCUAAGCUUGCACCGGCGAAAUCGUCAGCACCGCCUGAGGGCUCCACGCGAAUCGCAUCCAUUCCGGGUGCAUGCCGCAUGGACAGUGCGGCAGACCGCAAGUCGGAAUGCCCGUGCGGGCAAAUGGUAACGAAAGCUGGGUGAAUUUCGGUGCUGUCUGUGAUGUUUAUCCCCGAAGCGCCAGCGGCCUCAGCAAUCCGCCCCACAGCCGCGGGCUUCAUCGGGGCACACCGCAAGUCUCAGGAGGCCCCGUGCAUUGGCCAAAGUAAAUGUACAAACAAGCAGCUUGUGUAUUUCAUAGAGAAAUGAAAGUAAAUUAUGUUGGCCUGCUGGUGGCAAGUCGGAUUGCCCAUGCCGGCAAAUGGUAACACAAGCUGGGUGUUCGAGUUAUCAUACGCUGUCAUCUCGGAAAUCAAUUAUGAGAUACACGGCACCUUUUGAGAUGAAAUAUAGCCCGAGAGGUGUUGAUGUGACUUUUGAGGUCGGUGAAUGGAGGCAGCUAAACUUGUUUGUGCUCAUACGGUCUUUGUUAGCUACAUGCGAGAUACCUUGCAAUAGAGAAUGCUGUAUAGUACCGAUAACGCGUUUCAGCCGGGCGAGAUAUUAUGUUUGGUCCGUUACAGACACACACACACACACACACACACACACACACACACACACACACACACACGGACAUGGGCAAUCCUACAGGUCGGGGCCCCCCUGGGCGCUUCGCGCUGGGGCCCCGCCCAAAAACCGUACAUGUGUCUAUGCCACCGAUACAAUCGCGGAUUUAGCAUAAUUAUGCGCUCGCGUGAAUGUGUUGUGUGACUGGCUGGGCAUAUGUACAUGCUCAUACAGUUGCUAAAUGCGAUGCCUGAGGGGCACUGCAAUUACUCCCGCCCUUGCUUGCUUACAGGAUCUCGUAGGUUGAAGCAUGAUAUGCUACAUACGAUGAUUCCCCUGAACCAUCUCAGAUUAUUCAUCACAUACAACUGCUGGGUUAUUUCUACGUACCUGGAUCUGUGGGCGGGGGGAAUAUCAUGGGGCAGGCACUGGGGGGCACAAUAUCCCAAAUAGCCGUAUUUGCAUCACAACCCUUGGAUGAGGUGAUUGCCCAACGUCGCCCAUCAUCAUCCCGGCAGGUUAAGUCCAGGAUGCCAUCCCCGUCACAGUCUGCACUCUGCAGGACUGCGGUGUCAUGGAUGCACCACCCGGAUGGCCUGGUGCAUGAAGCUGCGGCAAAAAAAACAGCAACGAUAAUAAUUGAUCAAUGCCAGAAGCAGAUAGGGCAGGUGGCCUAGCUAGGAAAGGCCACAUGAAGGGUGGAGGCCAGACCAGCUGGAAAUGAAAGGCCAGGCAGUGUAACUACGAUUUCUAGACGCAUUGAGCAGGUCGGUGCCACAAAGAGACUCAGGGCUUGCUUGCCAGCAGCCGUAGGAUAACCGUACAUGCAUGCAUGCAUGCAUGCAUGCAUGCCACCAAUACAUUCGGUGAUUGAGCAUAGCUAUGCGCUUGCAUGCAUGUUUUGUGCGAUUGGGCAUAUGUAUACAGUUGCCAAAUGUGAUGCCUGGGGGGCUUCAGGUAAGGUGCACACACUGCUGCAAUUCACUGCUCCGAAGCAAGUGGGGUUGAACAAUGAUAUGCUAUGAUAAUUCCGAGGGGCAAUGCCGGUUCGAGGGAAUUCCCUCGAAUCAUCUCAAUUUCAUCGCAACGGCUGGGUUAUUACUACGUACCUGGAUCUGUGGGUGGCGAGAAUAUCUUGGGGCAGGCACUGGGGGGCACAAUAUCCCAAAUAGCCGCAUUUGCAUCACAGCCCGUGGAUGAGGUGAUCGCCCAACGUCGCCCAUCAUCAUCCCGGCAGGUAACAUCCAGGGCGCCAUCCCCGUCACAGUCUGCACUCUGCAGGACUGAGCUGUUGUGGAUGCACCACCCGGAUGGCCUGGUGCAUGAAGCUGGAACUGCGGCAAAAGCCAGCAACGAUAAUAAUCGAUCGGUGUCAGAAGCAACAGAAACAUUUCUAGAUGAAUGGAGCAGCAGGUCGGUGCCAUAAGGAAACGCAGCUCGCCUGCCAGGGUUUUAAAACCCCUAGGGCGCCUGCCAGUAGGAAAACCGUACAUGUGUCCAUGCCACCGAUACAAUCGCUGAUUUAGCAUAAUUAUGCGCUCGCGUGAAUGUGUUGUGUGACUGGCUGGGCAUAUGUACAUGCUCAUACAGUUGCUAAAUGCGAUGCCUGAGGGGCACUGCAAUUACUCCCGCCCUUGCUUGCUUACAGGAUCUCGUAGGUUGAAGCAUGAUAUGCUACAUACGAUGAUUCCCCUGAACCAUCUCAGAUUAUUCAUCACAUACAACUGCUGGGUUAUUUCUACGUACCUGGAUCUGUGGGGGGGGGGAAUAUCAUGGGGCAGGCACUGGGGGGCACAAUAUCCCAAAUAGCCGUAUUUGCAUCACAACCCUUGGAUGAGGUGAUUGCCCAACGUCGCCCAUCAUCAUCCCGGCAGGUUAAGUCCAGGAUGCCAUCCCCGUCACAGUCUGCACUCUGCAGGACUGCGGUGUCGUGGAUGCACCACCCGGAUGGCCUGGUGCAUGAAGCUGCGGCAAAAAAAACAGCAACGAUAAUAAUUGAUCAAUGCCAGAAGCAGAUCGGGCAGGUGGCCUAGCUAGGAAAGGCCACAUGAAGGGUGGAGGCCAGACCAGCUGGAAAUGAAAGGCCAGGCAGUGUAACUACGAUUUCUAGAUGCAUCGAGCAGGUCGGUGCCACAAAGAGACUCAGGGCUUGCUUGCCAGCAGCCGUAGGAUAACCGUACAUGCAUGCAUGCAUGCAUGCAUGCCACCAAUACAUUCGGUGAUUGAGCAUAGCUAUGCGCUUGCAUGAAUGUUUUGUGCGAUUGGGCAUAUGUAUACAGUUGCCAAAUGUGAUGCCUGAGGGGCUUCAGGUAAGUUGCACACACUGCUGCAAUUCACUGCUCCGAAGCAAGUGGGGUUGAACAAUGAUAUGCUAUGAUAAUUCCGAGGGGCAAUGCCGGUUCGAGGGAAUUCCCUCGAACCAUCUCAAUUUCAACGCAACGGCUGGGUUAUUACUACGUACCUGGAUCUGUGGGUGGCGAGAAUAUCUUGGGGCAGGCACUGGGGGGCACAAUAUCCCAAAUAGCCGCAUUUGCAUCACAGCCCGUGGAUGAGGUGAUCGCCCAACGUCGCCCAUCAUCAUCCCGGCAGGUAACAUCCAGGGCGCCAUCCCCGUCACAGUCUGCACUCUGCAGGACUGAGCUGUUGUGGAUGCACCACCCGGAUGGCCUGGUGCAUGAAGCUGCGGCAAAAAAAGCAGCAACGAUGGUAAUUGAUCAAUGCCAGAAGCAGAUCGGGCAGGUGGCCUAGCUAGGAAAGGCCACAUGAAGGGUGGAGGCCAGACCAGCUGGAAAUGAAAGGCCAGGCAGUGUAACUACGAUUUCUAGACGCGUCGAACAGAUCAACGCCACAAAGAGACUCAGGGCUUGCUUUCCAGCAGCCGUAGGAUAACCGUACAUGCAUGCAUGCAUGCCACCGAUACAUUCGUGAUUGAGCAUAGCUAUGCGCUUGCAUGAAUGUUUUGUGCGAUUGGGCAUAUGUAUACAGUUGCCAAAUGUGAUGCCUGAGGGGCUUCAGGUAAGUUGCACACACUGCUGCAAUUCACUGCUCCGAAGCAAGUGGGGUUGAACAAUGAUAUGCUAUGAUAAUUCCGAGGGGCAAUGCCGGUUCGAGGGAAUUCCCUCGAAUCAUCUCAAUUUCAUCGCAACGGCUGGGUUAUUACUACGUACCUGGAUCUGUGGGUGGCGAGAAUAUCUUGGGGCAGGCACUGGGGGGCACAAUAUCCCAAAUAGCCGCAUUUGCAUCACAGCCCGUGGAUGAGGUGAUCGCCCAACGUCGCCCAUCAUCAUCCCGGCAGGUAACAUCCAGGGCGCCAUCCCCGUCACAGUCUGCACUCUGCAGGACUGAGCUGUUGUGGAUGCACCACCCGGAUGGCCUGGUGCAUGAAGCUGGAACUGCGGCAAAAGCCAGCAACGAUAAUAAUCGAUCGGUGUCAGAAGCAACAGAAACAUUUCUAGAUGAAUGGAGCAGCAGGUCGGUGCCAUAAGGAAACGCAGCUCGCCUGCCAGGGUUUUAAAACCCCUAGGGCGCCUGCCAGUAGGAAAACCGUACAUGUGUCCAUGCCACCAAUACAAUCGCUGAUUUAGCAUAAUUAUGCGCUCGCGUGAAUGUGUUGUGUGACUGGCUGGGCAUAUGUACAUGCUCAUAUAGUUGCUAAAUGCGAUGCCUGAGGGGCACUGCAAUUACUCCCGCCCUUGCUUGCUUACAGGAUCUCGUAGGUUGAAGCAUGAUAUGCUGCAUACGAUGAUUCCCUCGAACCAUCUCAAAUUAUUCAUCACAUACAACUGCUGGGUUAUUUCUACGUACCUGGAUCUGUGGGCGGGGGGAAUAUCAUGGGGCAGGCACUGGGGGGCACAAUAUCCCAAAUAGCCGUAUUUGCAUCACAACCCUUGGAUGAGGUGAUUGCCCAACGUCGCCCAUCAUCAUCCCGGCAGGUUAAGUCCAGGAUGCCAUCCCCGUCACAGUCUGCACUCUGCAGGACUGCGGUGUCGUGGAUGCACCACCCGGAUGGCCUGGUGCAUGAAGCUGCGGCAAAAAAAGCAGCAACGAUGGUAAUUGAUCAAUGCCAGAAGCAGAUCGGGCAG